UACAGAGGUCCCGAGCGUUGUUCGGAUUCACUGGGCGUAAAGGGUGCGUAGGUGGCGAGGAAAGUCGGAUGUGAAAGCUCGGAGCUCAACUCCGAAAUGGCAUUGGAAACUACCUUGCUCGAGGGUUGGAGGGGGGACUGGAAUUCUCGGUGUAGCAGUGAAAUACGUAGAUAUCGAGAGGAACACCAGUGGCGAAGGCGAGUCUCUGGACGACUCCUGACACUGAGGCACGAAAGCUAGGGGAGCAAACAGG
rnacentral:rRNA from 1 species